rnacentral:misc_RNA from 1 species
AAGUUGUAGUGAUUCAGAGACCUCUGGCUCCGUGCGAACAUUGGAACAGUUACAAUCGAGCGGUAGUUCUAUAGGCAAUAUUUCCCCAAGCAGUCAGUGUCGGAAAGUGUCAUUGAUUGUGCAAGGAUAGCGCUUCUACGAUUCCUGUAGACCGUACACUCGGGCAGGAGCUUUGCCAAAGGGUCCCCAUGCCCCCUAAUACCCCCACAGUUUAAUGUGAAGCUCAAUGUAGUACAUUGGGUAAAAAAACCGAACAACUGUUAACAAUGGAUAUCUUGGUUCUC